GAUGAAGAACGUAGCGAAAUGCGAUACUUGGUGUGAAUUGCAGAACCCCGUGAACCAUCGAGUCUUUGAACGCAAGUUGCGCCCGAAGCCAUUAGGCCGAGGGCACGCCUGCCUGGGCGUCACACGUCGUUGCCCCCCCAUCUACUCCUUCGGGAUUGCGGGGGGCGGAUGAUGGCCUCCCGUGCGCCUCGCCGCGCGGUUGGCAUAAAUGCCAAGUCCUCGGCGACGCACGCCACGACAAUCGGUGGUUGCGAAACCUCGGUUGCCCGUCGUGUGCGGUCGUCGCGCAUCGAGGGCUCGAAAAAAUUGCCGGGUUCCGGCUCGGCUUUCAACGCGACCCCAGGUCAGGCGGGGUUACCCGCUGAAUUUAAGCAUAUCAAUAAGCGGAGGA
rnacentral:misc_RNA from 1 species